UACGUAGGGGGCAAGGCGUUGUCCGGAUUUACUGGGCGUAAAGGCGCCUGUAGGCGGCCUGUCCAAGUCCGGCCUGAAACGCCCCCGGACUCCGAACCGGGGAGGGGUGGCUGGAAACUGGCAGGCUUGAGGGCGAGAGAGGAGGGUGGAAUUCCUGGUGUAGCGGUGAAAUGCGUAGAGAUCAGGAGGAACCACCCGUGGCGAAG
rnacentral:rRNA from 1 species